rnacentral:rRNA from 1 species
AAGACCUUGCGCUUUUGGAGCGGCCGAUGUCUGAUUAGCUAGUUGGUGGGGUAAUGGCCUACCAAAGCUUCGAUCAGUAGCUGGUCUGAGAGGACGGCCAGCCACACUGGGACUGAGACACGGCCCAGACUCCUACGGGAGGCAGCAGUGGGGAAUUUUGGACAAUGGGCGCAAGCCUGAUCCAGCCAUGCCGCGUGAGUGAAGAAGGCCUUCGGGUUGCAAAGCUCUUUCAGCCGGGAAGAAAAGGCUGCGACUAAUAAUCGCAGUUCAUGACGGUACCGGAAGAAGAAGCACCGGCUAACUACGUGCCAGCAGCCGCGGUAAUACGUAGGGUGCGAGCGUUAAUCGGAAUUACUGGGCGUAAAGGGUGCGCAGGCGGUUUUGUAAGUCAGAUGUGAAAUCCCCGGGCUUAACCUGGGAACU